rnacentral:tRNA from 1 species
UUUUAGCUCAGUCGGUUAGAGCAUCUGACUGUUAAUCAGAGGGUCGCUGGUUCGAGCCCAGCAA